UACGGAGGGUGCAAGCAUUAAUCGGAUUUAUUGGGCGUAAAGAGCGCGUAGGUGGGAAAGAAAGUCAGACGUGAAAGCCCAGGGCUCAACCCUGGAACUGCGUUUGAAACUUCUUUUCUUGAGGGUAGGCGGAGAAAACGGAAUUCCACAAGUAGCGGUGAAAUGCGUAGAUAUGUGGAAGAACACCGGUGGCGAAGGCGGUUUUCUAGCUUAUUCCUGACACUGAGGCGCGAAAGCUAGGGGAGCGAACAGGAUUAGAUACCCCAGUAGUCC
rnacentral:rRNA from 1 species